CGAAGACACACAGAAGUUAAAAUCUUCAAACACAACAUAAUCUUUGGGGUUUAUAAUCCAUACAUUCUGGAAUUGCCUUUGAUAUUUUUAGGUUAAAGACUUAAUUCUUUUUGGCGUUUACUAGAACAUAGGUAAACUUGCCAGUGCUGUGAAUUGAAAACACGACUACAUUAAAAGAAGAUGAAGAAGAAGAAGACGCUAACGCAACAACGCCGCGUUUGACGCAGCGACGGCGGCUGCCAUGAUGGAAGGCUUUUCCCAGCCUCUGCAUCCACGGAGGUAAAAGUGGCGCGAUGAGGAGGAGGACCAGGAGGAGAAUGUUAAACAUGUCCUUUAGACCCGAGAGGAGGAAGAGAAGUAAAAGCAGCCAGCUGUUUCGUCUUCACCAUUCGCAAAGCUGCCUCCCAUUUUUAGCAUUCUACAAAACAACUUUGAGCGCCAAUUGUAACAAAUUAAAUUGGAGAUUAGUGAUGGCUCAAAAUCAAUAAAAAUCAGCCAAGACGCAUUCACAUAUAUUGUGCCAGUUAUUAUUCAAAAUCAAUAGGAAUUUGCCUCAAUCCAACCUUAACCCCAAUACAAACCAUAAUCAUUUGACCUUAAACCUAAUCCGACACUGGUGUCAAACUCAAGGCUUGGGGGCAAGAUCCGGCCUGUAACGUUAUUUUGUGGAGCUGGCAAAAGCAAAUCAUUUGUGUAUAUUUCCAUAAUGCUUGCUAAAAUCUGACCUAGAAUUUGUUGUGACAUUGAAAGCAUUGUUUCUGUUACCAAAAUCCAUUUUACAGCAAUUUGAACAAUAUCUGAAUCAACUGCAAUCCUUCAUUUCUAAUUUCCCAACAAAUUAUCCAUCAAUUUGUUGAUUGAUUA